UGGAUGAGACGAAGUCUCUGAGGCGUUU
rnacentral:sRNA from 1 species